rnacentral:rRNA from 1 species
AUUGAACGUUGGCGGCAUGCUUUACACAUGCAAGUCGAACGGCAGCGGGGUAGUGCUUGCACUACUGCCGGCGAGUGGCGAACGGGUGAGUAAUAUAUCGGAACGUACCGAGUAAUGGGGGAUAACCAAUCGAAAGAUUGGCUAAUACCGCAUACGUCCUGAGGGAGAAAGCGGGGGAUCGCAAGACCUCGCGUUAUUCGAGCGGCCGAUAACUGAUUAGCUAGUUGGUGGGGUAAAGGCCUACCAAGGCGACGAUCAGUAGCGGGUCUGAGAGGACGAUCCGCCACACUGGGACUGAGACACGGCCCAGACUCCUACGGGAGGCAGCAGUGGGGAAUUUUGGACAAUGGGGGCAACCCUGAUCCAGCCAUGCCGCGUGUAUGAAGAAGGCCUUCGGGUUGUAAAGUACUUUUGUUAGGGAAGAAAAGGGAAGUGCUAAUACCACUUUUUGCUGACGGUACCUAAAGAAUAAGCACCGGCUAACUACGUG